rnacentral:rRNA from 1 species
CGGCCCGAACUCCUACGGGAGGCAGCAGUGGGGAAUAUUGGACAAUGGGGGCAACCCUGAUCCAGCCAUGCCGCGUGUGUGAAGAAGGCCCUCGGGUUGUAAAGCACUUUCAGCGAGGAAGAACGCCUAGCGGUUAAUACCCGCUAGGAAAGACAUCACUCGCAGAAGAAGCACCGGCUAACUCCGUGCCAGCAGCCGCGGUAAUACGGAGGGUGCAAGCGUUAAUCGGAAUUACUGGGCGUAAAGCGCGCGUAGGUGGCUUGAUAAGCCGGUUGUGAAAGCCCCGGGCUCAACCUGGGAACGGCAUCCGGAACUGUCAAGCUAGAGUGCAGGAGAGGAAGGUAGAAUUCCCGGUGUAGCGGUGAAAUGCGUAGAGAUCGGGAGGAAUACCAGUGGCGAAGGCGGCCUUCUGGACUGACACUGACACUGAGGUGCGAAAGCGUGGGUAGCAAACAGGAUUAGAUACCCUGGUAGUCCACGCCGUAAACGAUGUCGACCAGCCGUUGGGUGCCUAGCGCACUUUGUGGCGAAGUUAACGCGAUAAGUCGACCGCCUGGGGAGUACGGCCGCAAGGUUAAAACUCAAAUGAAUUGACGGGGGCCCGCACAAGCGGUGGAGCAUGUGGUUUAAUUCGAUGCAACGCGAAGAACCUUACCUACUCUUGACAUCCUGCGAAUUUGGUAGAGAUACCUUAGUGCCUUCGGGAACGCAGAGACAGGUGCUGCAUGGCUGUCGUCAGCUCGUGUUGUGAAAUGUUGGGUUAAGUCCCGUAACGAGCGCAACCCUUGUCCUUAUUUGCCAGCGCGUAAUGGCGGGAACUCUAAGGAGACUGCCGGUGACAAACCGGAGGAAGGUGGGGACGACGUCAAGUCAUCAUGGCCCUUACGAGUAGGGCUACACACGUGCUACAAUGGUCGGUACAAAGGGUUGCCAACUCGCGAGAGUGAGCCAAUCCCGAAAAGCCGAUCUCAGUCCGGAUCGGAGUCUGCAACUCGACUCCGUGAAGUCGGAAUCGCUAGUAAUC